CACCUCUAGCAUUUCCAGUAUUAGAGGCACUGCCUGCCCAAUGACAUCUGUUUAAACGGCCGCGGUAUCCUAACCGUGCAAAGGUAGCAUAAUCACUUGUUCCCUAAAUAGGGACUUGUAUGAAUGGCCACACGAGGGUUUUACUGUCUCUUACUUCCAAUCAGUGAAAUUGACCUUCCCGUGAAGAGGCGGGAAUGACUAAAUAAGACGAGAAGACCCUAUGGAGCUUUAAUUAACUGAUUCACAAAAAACAACACACAAACCUAACCUUCAGGGACAACAAAACUUUUGAUUGAAUCAGCAAUUUCGGUUGGGGUGACCUCGGAGAACAAAACAACCUCCGAGUGAUUUAAAUCCAGACUAACCAGUCAAAAUAUAUAAUCACUUAUUGAUCCAAACCAUUGAUCAACGGAACAAGUUACCCUAGGGAUAACAGCGCAAUCCUAUUCCAGAGUCCAUAUCGACAAUUAGGAUUUACGACCUCGAUGUUGGAUCAAGACAUCCUAAUGGUGCAACCGCUAUUAAGGGUCCGUUUGUUCAACGAUUAAAGUCUU
rnacentral:rRNA from 1 species